rnacentral:rRNA from 1 species
UACAGAGGUCUCAAGCGUUGUUCGGAAUCACUGGGCGUAAAGGGUGCGUAGGCGGCACGGUAAGUCAGAGGUGAAAUCCCGGAGCUCAACUUCGGAAUUGCCUCCGAUACUGCCGUGCUUGAGGACUGGAGAGGAGAUUGGAAUUCACAGUGGAGCAGUGAAAUGCGUAGAUAUUGUGAGGAACACUAGUGGCGAAGGCGACCACCUGGACUGAUACUGACACUGAGGUGCGAAAGCGUGGGGAGCAAACAGG